GGCAGGCUUAACACAUGCAAGUCGAACGAUGGAACCUAGCUUGCUAGGGGAAAUAGUGGCGAACGGGUGAGUAACAUUUAGGAAACUGCCUUAUAGAGGGGGAUAGCUCGGGGAAACUCGAAUUAAUACCGCAUACGUCCUACGGGAGAAAGGAGSYKWRAGSUUYUGCUAUAAGAUGUGCCUAAAUUAGAUUAGCUAGAUGGUGAGGUAAAGGCUCACCAUGGCGACGAUCUAUAACUGGUCUUAGAGGAUGAUCAGUCACACCGGAACUGAGACACGGUCCGGACUCCUACGGGAGGCAGCAGUGGGGAAUAUUGGACAAUGGGGGCAACCCUGAUCCAGCCAUGCCGCGUGUGUGAAGAAGGUCAUAAGAUUGUAAAGCACUUUAAGCAGGGAGGAAGAGCUAGUCAAGAAACGGGCUAGUAGUGACGUUACCUGCAGAAUAAGCACCGGCUAACUCUGUGCCAGCAGCCGCGGUAAUACAGAGGGUGCGAGCGUUAAUCGGAAUUACUGGGCGUAAAGCGGGUGCAGGUGGUGCACUAAGUCAUAUGUGAAAGCCCUGGGCUUAACCUAGGAACAGCAUAUGAUACUGGUGAACUAGAGUAUAUGAGAGGGAAGUAGAAUUCCAGGUGUAGCGGUGAAAUGCGUAGAGAUCUGGAGGAAUACCGAUGGCGAAGGCAGCUUUCUGGCACAAUACUGACACUCAGACCCGAAAGCGUGGGUAGCAAACAGGAUUAGAUACCCUGGUAGUCCAC
rnacentral:rRNA from 1 species